GACGAACGCUGGCGGCGUGCCUAAUACAUGCCAGUAGAACGCACAGUUUAUACCGUAGCUUGCUACACCAUAGACUGUGAGUUGCGAACGGGUGAGUAACGCGUAGGUAACCUGCCUGGUAGCGGGGGAUAACUAUUGGAAACGAUAGCUAAUACCGCAUAAUAUUGAUUAUUCCAUGAUAAUUGAUUGACAUAUGCUAUUUCAUCACUACCAGAUGGCCCUACGUUGUAUUAGCUAGUAGGGGAGGUAACGGGUCACCUAGGGGACGAUAGAUAGCCGACCUGGGAGGGGGAGCCGCCAAGAUGGGACGGGGGCACGGGCCAGAAUCCUGAGGGAGGGAGCAGUAGGGGAACUUCGGGAAAGGACGAAAGUCUGACCGAGCAACGCCGCGGGAGUGAAGAAGGUUUUCGGAUCGGAAAGCUCUGUUGUAAGAGAAGAACGGGUGUGAGAGUGGAAAGUGCACACUGUGACGGUAUCUGACCAGAAAGGGACGGCUAACUACGUG
rnacentral:rRNA from 1 species